GCAUUCUUAGCUCAGUUGGAAUAGAGCAACAACCUUCUAAGUUGCAGGUCGCAGGUUCAAGUCCUGCAGAAUGCA
rnacentral:tRNA from 1 species